UACGUAGGGUCCGAGCGUUGUCCGGAAUUACUGGGCGUAAAGAGCUCGUAGGUGGUUUGUCGCGUUGUUCGUGAAAACUCACAGCUCAACUGUGGGCGUGCGGGCGAUACGGGCAGACUAGAGUACUGCAGGGAGACUGGAAUUCCUGGUGUAGCGGUGGAAUGCGCAGAUAUCAGGAGGAACACCGGUGGCGAAGGCGGGUCUCUGGGCAGUAACUGACGCUGAGGAGCGAAAGCGUGGGGGAGCGAACAGG
rnacentral:rRNA from 1 species